GAGAAUGUUAUCACGGGAGACACACGGCGGGUGCUAACGUCCGUCGUGAAGAGGGAAACAACCCAGACCGCCAGCUAAGGUCCCAAAGUCAUGGUUAAGUGGGAAACGAUGUGGGAAGGCCCAGACAGCCAGGAUGUUGGCUUAGAAGCAGCCAUCAUUUAAAGAAAGCGUAAUAGCUCACUGGUCGAGUCGGCCUGCGCGGAAGAUGUAACGGGGCUAAACCAUGCACCGAAGCUGCGGCAGCGACGCUUAUGCGUUGUUGGGUAGGGGAGCGUUCUGUAAGCCUGUGAAGGUGUGCUGUGAGGCAUGCUGGAGGUAUCAGAAGUGCGAAUGCUGACAUAAGUAACGAUAAAGCGGGUGAAAAGCCCGCUCGCCGGAAGACCAAGGGUUCCUGUCCAACGUUAAUCGGGGCAGGGUGAGUCGACCCCUAAGGCGAGGCCGAAAGGCGUAGUCGAUGGGAAACAGGUUAAUAUUCCUGUACUUGGUGUUACUGCGAAGGGGGGACGGAGAAGGCUAUGUUGGCCGGGCGACGGUUGUCCCGGUUUAAGCGUGUAGGCUGGUUUUCCAGGCAAAUCCGGAAAAUCAAGGCUGAGGCGUGAUGACGAGGCACUACGGUGCUGAAGCAACAAAUGCCCUGCUUCCAGGAAAAGCCUCUAAGCAUCAGGUAACAUCAAAUCGUACCCCAAACCGACACAGGUGGUCAGGUAGAGAAUACCAAGGCGCUUGAGAGAACUCGGGUGAAGGAACUAGGCAAAAUGGUGCCGUAACUUCGGGAGAAGGCACGCUGAUAUGUAGGUGAAGUCCCUCGCGGAUGGAGCUGAAAUCAGUCGAAGAUACCAGCUGGCUGCAACUGUUUAUUAAAAACACAGCACUGUGCAAACACGAAAGUGGACGUAUACGGUGUGACGCCUGCCCGGUGC
rnacentral:rRNA from 1 species